rnacentral:lncRNA from 1 species
GACUGAAUGUCCUUAUGUAGAAUACAUGUCAGGCGUAGUGAUGUAUGCCUGCAGUCUCAGCUUUCCAAAAGGCUGAGGUGGGAAGACUGAGCCUAGGUGUUUGAGGUUAUAGUGAGCUAUGAUCGCGCCAAUGUACUCCAGCAUGGGCGAUGGAGCAAGAUCCGGUCUCGAAACAAACAAAAAGUAUUUAAUUAACAGUUCAAAACCAUGCAAUCUGAACAAAUCGCUCUAGAAAUAAAAGCUAUAACUGCCAGUUAACACAGAAAAGGCCAUCUCCAUAAUUUAACAUACAAUGAACACAAAAUCAAUCCAAGUGGGGUUAUAAUGCCUAAUCAGAAUUCCCCAAACUGUCCCCUGGAAUGUCUGAGCUAAAGAAAAAAAUUAUUUUAAAAGGGUCCAAACCUUGUGGUCAGAAGCUGGAGGAGUGAGGGGCGCAGUAGGGCAAGAGAAAACUUCUGCUUUUCCUUUAUACUUCUGUACCAUUUGGAGUUUCAUGUUAUCAUAAGUAUAUAUUCCCUUAUGGUAAUACCAAAGUCCAAAUGACACACAAGUAUACGUUACUUUUUAAGCUUCCACAUUCGCUGGUAAUAGGAAAAGUCGGUCCAGAGAAAGCAUGUUGCACCUUCUGAAACAUUUCUAUUUGAGAUAGGAUAGAUAUUACAUGAGGUACUGUACAUUUUAAAUCUCUUUUACUUAGCAUUUAUUAACACGAGGUACCUCCGAAAGGAGAGAGGAGAAGAGGGGAACUAUGAGAUCCUUCAUAUAAAGCCAGCAAGGAGUAGGAAGUAUCUAGUGGAGGUAUCAGGGGACAGUGGCAACUGCCUAAGGUAUUGAGCUUUGUGAAGAGGUGUCCUAAUUUCUAUUAACUGGCCUAUAGAGAAAGAACAGAUUUAAUCUUACAUCCUGUAGCAGAAAAAAAAAGGAAAGUGGGUUCCAUUUUCAGAGAGUAACAAAUGCUAGCAAACAUUAGAGCUAAGAAAGUAAAUAGUCUACAGUCCCU